rnacentral:lncRNA from 1 species
CCCCCCCUGAGACCUUGAGACCAAAACAAAAAGUAGGACUUUCUAUCUGGCCAUUUGAGAUGCCCCAAUGCCAGUGGGAUGCCCCAUGGGACACUCCAUUCUGGGUGAGCUAUGUAACGACUAAUUUUUAGUCUAUUUUUGAUGCAUUUCAUGUGCAUUAAACACACUCCAACGGCUCUAAACUAAUUUUAAGACAUUCUCAAGGGUAAAUGGAAACUAUAAAUGCUCUAUUCAAGUGAGAAAUUAUAAGAUUUUUGCAAACUCAAAGAUAAAGUUUGAGAAAAAUCAUUUUUAGCCCUAAGAAAG